AUGAGAUCUCUGUCAGACGAGCUGGCCGCGGCCGGCAAACCCAUCACCGAAGACGAGCUCAUCUCCUUCAUCACCGGCGCACUUGACAUGGACUAUCAGCCACUGAUCUCGGCUCUUGAUGUCCGCACUGAACCCCUCACCGUGGACGAACUCCUUGGCAUGGUCUCCAAUUUUGAUCAGCGCCUUGAGAUGUUCAAUGGUACAGGGGCUGGAGCCUUCAAAUCUUCUGCUAAUGUGGCCUCACGAGGUGGCGGUGGCCCUGCCAAGAACUACAGGAACUCCACGAAGGGAGGCAGUAGUGGGGGCUACCGUGGCGGCGGCGGUGGCAAUGGUGGUAGCGGCGGCUACUAUCAGAACAGCGGCGGUGGUGGCGGCGGCCAGUACCAGCAAGCCGCCGGCGGCGGCUACCAGCAUGGCGACGGUGGCGGCGGCUACCAGAACGGCGGUGGUGGUGGCGGUGGCCACUACCAGAAUGCCGGCGGCAACAACCAUCAACGCCGGCCCUACUACAACAACAACAGAGGCCGCCCCUUUCAAGGUUAUGAAGAGUAUGAGAAUAAGUGCCAAAUCUAUAAAAAAAACUAA
rnacentral:rRNA from 1 species